rnacentral:lncRNA from 1 species
CUCAAACUCAGCCUGCUCUCCCCAAGGCAUAAAAAAAAAAACUGAGCACCUAAAUACUAUUUCCAGGAAAUCCCUUCAGCUAGGAAUGUUCCAUCUUGAUAGCCCCAAAGCACAUUUCUACCAUAGAUGCGUAAUUUCCCAUGGACAUAUACCAUCAUAAACAACAGUUUUACAUUAACACACACUGCAAUAAUUUGUGGCAUACCUUCUUCUUUAAAUCACGCAAUACACAUUCAUUAAGUUAUUCACCCACGGGAUAAUUCAUCAAUUUGUUUAUUCCAGUCAAUUGAUAAAUGUUCCUCAAUGAUUCGUAGACUAAUUUGCGUCAAGCGUAAUGCACACCUUUUCUUCAACAAGGAAGUAGCGCGGCGCUUCUUACACACGAGGAUUCUUGGCUAUACCUUGAAGAGAUACAACAAAUAAUAUUUCUCCAACCAAUAAUUUAAGUGUCAUUGUCUAUAAAUCAUGGCAUGCGCCCCAUGCCAACUGUAUAUGUUUAAGAUAUUUCAUGGUGUGAGUGACAGGAGUUGGGGGCUCAACAUUCAGGGAAUUUCAUGAAUUUUGACAUUUGCUCUGUACUUGAAAGGUUAAUAGAACUCUCACAUUACUGCCAUCUGGUGAAUAAAAAUUGUACAGCACGGGUUAUUCUGUAAAUACACCGCAAUUCAGCUAUAUUUGAGACUUGAUGUAGGAUUAAUGAUACUAACUUCAACUCAGGUCAGAUUAAAAAAUAUAUUGAAUACCUUAUUGUGCAUACAGUACCAUAGGCAUAAUAAUACAGCCUUUCACAUGUAAACAGGCCUAAAAAAUGGAAACGCUAGCUGAAGUGGAUGGUGAAUGCAUUUGGCCAGUAGUGAAUAGAUGUGUAAAGACAAAGUAACAUCUUAAUCUCAUUUUGUCUUAGCUUGUAAUUUAUAAAAUAUUCCAUUAGAUUUGAUUUUGAAUCAAUUACAUUAACUUUUAUUUCUUAUCAAGAGAAGGAGAGGCGGGAGUUUCUUCAGUUAAACCUAUGUACACCCAUCUGUCCACUCUUUCCCCCCACACCCACAUUCCUGCAUACAAGUGCCAUCUGUCAACUAUUAAGUAAAAGCCACACUUGAAGAAAAUGUAAACAUUGAAUGAAAUGGAUUUAAUCAAAGGGUAGUUGAACAAGAGCGAGCAAAGUUGAGUAUGAGAGGAUGAAGUAGUUGAUCUGGCAGCAUGGGAUUGGUGCCAACAGCAAAACAACUUCCCCUAAUAUAUAAUGGAGAGAAGGAAAGCAUGGGGCAGUUGAGGAAUCAAUUAAAUUCCGUAAGAGAGACUCAGUAUUUAAACACCCAUGUAACAAGUAAAUAGCCUGAUUAUGAGGACAACCAUUCACAGGCAAGCAAUCUGAAAGCUUGUAAGGGUCAUCUAUAGGGAAUACCACACGACAUUUGAGAAUUGAAGAGACACCCCUUGAGAGCAUCUUGCCUAACAGGAAGUGUAAAGAAGGAGCUUUCCUAACAGGAUGUGUAAAGGAGGACAGGGAAGGAGAGGAGGGUCUCAGCUGAAGUCCAAAAAUUCUGAUAUGUUCUGUCCAGUUGUCCCUCAAACAGGCCUGCAGGUACCAUCAACCAGCAUACAUACCAUCUCUGAGUGAACUGUGAGGAUUGUCAAGACAGAGAGGGAAAGUUAACUGUUAAUUUGUGAUAUAUGUUAACAUACUGUAUGUGACUUGCUCUAUCAUAAUCCGUCACAUUGACCCCAAAACACAUUUGGAUUUUUAUACAGUGCUGAAAAGAGGCAAAUGUUAGCUUUCUAAUGAAACCCACAUGAUCUCUCUACUCCAAAUAUCAAGUUAGUUGCGCACCGUUAUAUGCUGAGUGUGUUUUUGAGAAAAACGCAAAGUUUGCAGUUACUUUUAAGACAUUUAUUCAAAUAAUGACU